rnacentral:rRNA from 1 species
AGGACGAACGCUGGCGGCGUGCUUAACACAUGCAAGUCGAGCGGUAAGGCCUUUCGGGGUACACGAGCGGCGAACGGGUGAGUAACACGUGGGUGAUCUGCCCUGCACUCUGGGAUAAGCCUGGGAAACUGGGUCUAAUACCGGAUAUGACCUGCUCUCGCAGUGGGGGUGGGUGGAAAGUAUUUAUCGGUGCAGGAGU